rnacentral:lncRNA from 1 species
UAUCACAGGGUAUUUUCAGAAGUCUCACCACCAUUCUGGUCCCUUCUACCUUGUUCCCUGCCUCGUACUAACCCAUUUCCUUAUUACACUUUUGUGUCUUGCCAGCGUGAGUGCAUACACAGAGGUGUGUUCAUCUCCACCCUGCCUUCUCACACAAAGGGUAGCUUACUCUAUGUACUGUCUGUCCUUCAGACUUGAAAUUGAAGGAGCCAUUUUCAAGACACUGAAGGAAAACCCAAGAACAAAUAAUCCCCUGUGAAUAGUCCAGUGUACCAGUCCAGUGUACCAGUGUACCAGUGUACAGUCCAGUGUACCAGUGUCAUAGAGGAACUGCCACUGGGGCUGGGUGCAGUGGCUCAUGCCUGUAAUCCUAGCACUUUGGGAGGCUGGGGUCGGAGGAUCACUUGAGCCCAGGAGUUUGAGGCCAGAACAAGGGACUAGAGUCUGAGCCUGGUGCCAGCUGGGUUCCCAGGGCACAGAAUUUGGAUCCUGGAUGACAGGGGCGAAGUCCUGGCUCCAGUUAUCACUAACAGCGGGAGCCCCAGGCAGUGGACUUGCCCUCACUUGGUGGUGGGGGUUCCCGAUAUGUACAAAGGGGUUAGAACCAUCGGCCUUGCCGUUCAUGACCGAUUCAGAGGCCUUGUGGACAGGCUGGUUCAGGUGGGCGUGUGGCGAGCACAUGGUGUGCACUGGGCGGGCAUCCAGGAGAGGCAGCUUUUAUCCCAACAGCACCCAAACAGGAGCCCUGGACCCUGGGCAGAAAAGGCAGCCAGAAGCACAGAAAGGGUCAAUAAACUAGUUCUACAAUUGCUCUAAAUGGGCAGAUCCACAAGAGGCCACAAAAGAGGCCAGAGACUUGAAAACCCGUGCGUGUUCUCCGCGGUCGCUGUAGCCGGAUCCUUCCUCAUGGCUGUGGCGGUGCCGACGGCGGGCAACUGAGAGGAAGCCACAGGAGAAAGAGACCGCCACACAGAGACGACGGCCAAAAGGCCUAAGCACUCAAACCAUGCAGACAGAAGUAAGGCUGGCUCUGGCUCAGGGAGAUCACAAUCUCAGGGCUGCCACAUCGGAUAAAAGACUCAAAGCUCCAAAGCGCAGCACAGAGCCUUCUCCAGAAACAGCAGAAUAAGUGCCUGUCGGGGAUCCCCAAGCAGAGACACUAAGAGAAAGGGAAACGACGGCAGUAAGAAAAUACGCGGGGGCUCUCCUUCUCAGUCAUGCAUAAUAAACACAAGAGAAAUUUCGAGAAAUUUCAUUUGCAUGUUGAAAUUUCAUUGCAACAUGGUCCCACGGAGGGAUUCGACGCUGAGAAAGCUACUGUGCUUGGGGCGGGGGGGUCUUGC